rnacentral:misc_RNA from 1 species
UUUCCGUAGGUGAACCUGCGGAAGGAUCAUUACCGAAUUGUCAAACGGGUUGUUGCUGGUCUUCAAACGGGGACAUGUGCACGCUCUGUUUACACAUCCACUCACACCUGUGCACCCUCCGUAGUUCUAUGGUCUGGGGGACCCUGUCUGCCUGCCGUGGUUCUACGUCUUUACACACACUCUGUAAUAAAGUCUUAUGGAAUGUAUGCCGCGUCUAACGCAAUACAAUACAACUUUCAGCAACGGAUCUCUUGGCUCUC